rnacentral:tRNA from 1 species
UGGGCUGUGGCUCAGUGGUCGAGCACCCGCCUAGCAUGCGUGAGGCACUGGGUUUGAUCCCAGCACCACAU